AUUGAACGCUGGCGGCGUGCUUUACACAUGCAAGUCGGACGAGUGGCGAACGGGUGAGUAACGCAUCGGAACGUACCGAGUAAUGGGGGAUAACUGUCCGAAAGGACAGCUAAUACCGCAUAUUAUUCGAGCGGCCGAUGUCUGAUUAGCUGGUUGGCGGGGUAAAGGCACACAAAGGCGACGAUCCGUAGCGGGUCUGAGAGGCUGAUCCGCCACACUGGGACGGAGACACGGCCCAGACUCCUACGGGAGGCAGCAGUGGGGAAUUUUGGACAAUGGGCGCAAGCCUGAUCCAGCCAUGCCGCGUGUCUGAAGAAGGCUUUCGGGUUGUAAAGCACUUUUGUUAGAGAAGCGGUACCUAAAGAAUAAGCACCGGCUAACUACGUGCCAGCAGCCGCGGUAAUAC
rnacentral:rRNA from 1 species